UACGAAGGGGGCUAGCGUUGUUCGGAAUCACUGGGCGUAAAGGGCGCGUAGGCGGCUUUUUAAGUCGGGGGUGAAAGCCUGUGGCUCAACCGCAGAAUUGCCUUCGAUACUGUAGAGCUUGAGACCGGAAGAGGUAAGUGGAACUGCGAGUGUAGAGGUGAAAUUCGUAGAUAUUCGCAAGAACACCAGUGGCGAAGGCGGCUUACUGGUCCGGUUCUGACGCUGAGGCGCGAAAGCGUGGGGAGCAAACAGG
rnacentral:rRNA from 1 species